rnacentral:rRNA from 1 species
AAAGGAAUAGACGGGGGCCCGCACAAGCAGCGGAGCAUGUGGUUUAAUUCGAAGCAACGCGAAGAACCUUACCAGGGCUUGACAUCCCUCUGAAAGGUAUAGAGAUAUACCGGACCUUAGGGACAGAGGAGACAGGUGGUGCAUGGUUGUCGUCAGCUCGUGUCGUGAGAUGUUGGGUUAAGUCCCGCAACGAGCGCAACCCUUAUCUUUAGUUGCCAGCAGGUAGAGCUGGGCACUCUAGAGAGACUGCCGGGGACAACUCGGAGGAAGGUGGGGAUGACGUCAAAUCAUCAUGCCCCUUAUGUCCUGGGCUACACACGUGCUACAAUGGUCUGAAACAAAGGGAAGCGAAGCCGCAAGGUGGAGCAAAACCCAGAAACCAGAUCCCAGUUCGGAUUGUGGGCUGCAACCCGCCCACAUGAAGUCGGAGUUGCUAGUAAUCGCGAAUCAGCAUGUCGCGGUGAAUGCGUUCCCGGGCCUUGUACACACCGCCCGU